AUGUCAACGAUUCAAGACCAGCUAGAACUUAAAAGCUGGAUCCAACUAACCUCCACGAAAUUGCAAACAAACUACAAGUCACAAUGUCACAUAGGCGUUAAUGUAGUGCCCGACGUCAUCAAACUAACACAGGAUCGGCGGAACAAGGUCGAGCCUCACACCAGGCCAUGUAUGCUAGAAGAUUGGAGUACCGGACUAAUCAGCCUGUCGUACCAAGCACCAACGUCUUUGUCAGAUCAUCAGCCUCCAACCUCGUUCGUUUCAUCUGGAUUCUCUUUCAGCAGAGAAGAGAAGAUGUGGCCAUUGUUCAUUGUGAUGCUGGAGAUUCUCUGA
rnacentral:rRNA from 1 species